rnacentral:rRNA from 1 species
CCUGGCGACACUAGCGCGGUGGUCCCACCUGACCCCAUGCCGAACUCAGAAGUGAAACGCCGUAGCGCCGAUGGUAGUGUGGGGU